UACGAAGGUCCCAAGCGUUUAUCCGGAUUUAUUGGGUUUAAAGGGUGCGUAGGCGGGUUAUUAAGUCAGUGGUGAAAGCCUUCAGCUUAACUGAAGAAUUGCCAUUGAUACUGAUGAUCUUGAGUAUGAUUGAGGUUGGCGGAAUGUGUCAUGUAGCGGUGAAAUGCUUAGAUAUGACACAGAACACCGAUUGCGAAGGCAGCUAACUAAGUCAUAACUGACGCUGAUGCACGAAAAGCGUGGGGAUCAAACAGG
rnacentral:rRNA from 1 species